AGUCUUUUAGUUUCAAAUUCACAUAUCCUUUGUCUAGUGAGAUUUUAGGGCUUUGGACAUCAUCUGCUGCCUGGACAAGAUCUCAGCAAUGAGCUGGCGACCAAAUAAGUGUGAGUUCUUAAGAAUCAGGUUUCUUGUUGACGAAUCAACAGCAUAACCUUGGCCUGGCAUCCAUUUCAGCAAUUGAAGAAGCAAGUCCUUCUUUUCAGGAUUUUCAAUAUAACGUGAUAUAGCCAUCUGAAAUAGUUCCUGAUCAAUCUUGUAUCCAGAACCAUGAAUAACCUUCAUAACAUCAUUUAUCAUAUUGAUAUUACCGAGCUUCAUAAAUGCAUUUGCAAACUUCUUUAUAGCAGCUUGCGAAAUCAAUUCAGUAUUGUCCUUAACUACUACAUAAGCAUCUUUGAGAAGCUGUCCAGAUAAGAGAAUGUGCAGAAUCUUCUCAUGAAGGGCUUUGCACAUGGUUCUUU
rnacentral:misc_RNA from 1 species